rnacentral:rRNA from 1 species
GAAACUUAAAUGAAUUGACGGGGCCCGCACAAGCGGUGGAGCAUGUGGUUUAAUUCGACGCAACGCGAAGAACCUUACCAGGGCUUGACAUCCCCUGACCGCGUAUGAAAGUACGUUUUCACCCUCGGGUGACAGGGAGACAGGUGGUGCAUGGUUGUCGUCAGCUCGUGUCGUGAGAUGUUGGGUUAAGUCCCGCAACGAGCGCAACCCCUACGUUUAGUUGCUAACGCGUGAAGGCGAGCACUCUAGACGAACUGCCGUUGACAAAAUGGAGGAAGUGGGGAUGACGUCAAAUCAUCAUGCCCCUUAUGUUCUGGGCUACACACGUGUUACAAUGGCCGGUACAGACGGACGCAAAGCCGCGAGGUGGAGCAAAUCCUAAAAAGCCGGUCUCAGUUCGGAUUGCAGGCUGCAAUUCGCCUGCAUGAAGUCGGAAUCGCUAGUAAUCGCAGGUCAGCAUACUGCGGUGAAUACGUUCCCGGGCCUU